rnacentral:rRNA from 1 species
GAUGAACGCUGGCGGCGUGCCUAAUACAUGCAAGUCGAGCGAAUGGAUUAAGAGCUUGCUCUUAUGAAGUUAGCGGCGGACGGGUGAGUAACACGUGGGUAACCUGCCCAUAAGACUGGGAUAACUCCGGGAAACCGGGGCUAAUACCGGAUAACAUUUUGAACCGCAUGGUUCGAAAUUGAAAGGCGGCUUCGGCUGUAACUUAUGGAUGGCCCCGCGUCGCAUUAGCUAGUUGGUGAGGUAACGGCUCACCAAGGCAACGAUGCGUAGCCGACCUGAGAGGGUGAUCGGCCACACUGGGACUGAGACACGGCCCAGACUCCUACGGGAGGCAGCAGUAGGGAAUCUUCCGCAAUGGACGAAAGUCCGACGGAGCAACGCCGCGUGAGUGAUGAAGGCUUUCGGGUCGUAAAACUCUGUUGUUAGGGAAGAACAAGUGCUAGUUGAAUAAGCUGGCACCUUGACGGUACCUAACCAGAAAGCCACGGCUAACUACGUGCCAGCCGCCGCAGUAA